GACGAACGCUGGCGGCGUGCCUAAUACAUGCAAGUAGAACGCUGAAGGAAGGAGCUUGCUCUUUCCGGAUGAGUUGCGAACGGGUGAGUAACGCGUAGGUAACCUGCCUGGUAGCGGGGGAUAACUAUUGGAAACGAUAGCUAAUACCGCAUAACAGUAGAUGUUGCAUGAUAUCUACUUAAAAGGUGCAAUUGCACCACUACCAGAUGGACCUGCGUUGUAUUAGCUAGUUGGUGAGGUAACGGCUCACCAAGGCGACGAUACAUAGCCGACCUGAGAGGGUGAUCGGCCACACUGGGACUGAGACACGGCCCAGACUCCUACGGGAGGCAGCAGUAGGGAAUCUUCGGCAAUGGACGGAAGUCUGACCGAGCAACGCCGCGUGAGUGAAGAAGGGUUUCGGAUCGUAAAGCUCUGUUGUAAGAGAAGAACGAGUGUGAGAGUGGAAAGUUCACACUGUGACGGUAGCUUACCAGAAAGGGACGGCUAACUACGUG
rnacentral:rRNA from 1 species